GUGAUCUAUCACCAAAGUGCCAGAAGAAAACAAAGGAGAGUUCAGAGGCUACCACCCAUCAAGGAUGCCAAGCUACACAGGCAGAAGUGUAGACCCCAAAAGAUGAGUCAAAUGAAAAAGCUCCAUGUGUCUGAUCUGCCCACUGAAGAGCAGGAGCCUCCACCUGAUGUUGGACCGAAUGCAAAAGUCUGAAGCAACAACUAAACCAGGGUCGAUGAUCAGAUGGUAAGAGUGGAAAUGUCGAUGUUUUGGAUGGAAAGAAGAUGUGCUUACUUCAUUCUUACUAGUGCUCUUGACCCUCAGAGGUUAACAUGUUCUGGUUUGUGCUAUAUUUUGAAGAGAUUAAAACAUUUAAGAAACACA
rnacentral:lncRNA from 1 species